UCGAAGAGGCUACCCGGACACGCGUGGGGGCGUUUGUGUUCACCAGUACCACGAGCACGUUUGGCCGGGCGCUGGUGCCGCCACCGGGAGCGCCGGCGGCCUGGAUUACCGAGGAUGUGGCCCCGGUGCCCAAAAACAUCUACGGCGUCACGAAGGUCGCGGCCGAGGCCUUGUGUGAACUGUUCCACCACAAGUUCGGGUUGCCGUGCCUGGUCCUGAGAACCUCGCGGUUCUUCCCCGAACAGGAUGACUCGAAGGCGACCCGCGACGCCUACAAGGAUGCCAACGUCAAGGUGAACGAAUACGCGUUCAGGCGGGCGGAUCUCGAGGACAUCGUGGGCGCGCACCUGUGCGCCGUCGAGCGAGCCGGGCCGCUGGGGUUUGGCCGCUACAUCGUCAGUGCCACCACGCCGUUCAUGCCGGACGACCUGGCUGAGCUGCGCACCGACGCGCCGGCCGUCCUGGCUCGUCGGGUGCCCCGUUAUCAGCAGGUAUAUGCCGCGCGAGGCUGGUCGAUGUUUCCCGGCAUCGACCGCGUGUACGACAACGCGCGGGCCCGGCGCGAUCUCGGCUGGCAGCCGAAGUACGACUUCGCCGCCGUGCUGGACCAGAUCGCCGCGGGAGGCCCCGCCGGCAGCCCGCUGGCGCAGCUCGUCGGGUCCAAGGGCUAUCACGCCGGGACAUUUGCCGGCGAACCCUAUCCCGUCGACUAGCGCGCUCGGAUCGACAUACCGCGCCCCAUAGGUCCUUGGUUCCUGGUUCUUGGUUCUUGGUCCGUCCUGUAGUCCAAGGUCCCCGGUCCACGGAGGACCAAGGACAAAGGACCCUGGACGGACCCAGUACCAAGGACCAAGAACAGAGGACCGCGGCUGCAGAGAAUCGAAAGCCGCUUCCGCUACCGCCCGGCGGAGGCGAACGCGAACGCGUACAAGGUAUCGUUGGCGGCCACGACGACGUACUGAACACCAUCGAGCUGAUACGUGAUCGGCCCGUUGGUGAUCGACGCGUGCAGACCGGCGCGCCAGAGCGGGACGCCUCGCGCGGCGUCGAAGGCCA
rnacentral:misc_RNA from 1 species